GUUUGGUGUUUUUAUCACGAUAUCAUGAUUAUGUGUUUUGUAUUUCGCCUAUUAAUCCCUCCAGCUCAAAAAGGAAAAUGUUACUCCAUGUGCGCGGACCAUAACAACCGAAAUUAGGCUUAAGGUCACUCCAAAUUAGAUUUUAGUUUCCCGUCCUCCGCCCGCGUCUCCUAGAACUGGCCGCAUAAUUUGUCCAUUAUUGCUAACUUGUUUCCAUUAUUUGACUUUUAUGACUAAGAAUAACGAAAA